AGGAAACGCUACAUCCUCCAACGGUGUCGCUUUUAAUAGAAAUCAUUGUAAAAUACAUAGAAUCAGCACAUCUGCCCAAACUUGAUGCCCUAGUAAGCCUCUGUUGGCUAUUUGAGGAUGAGGCUUCGUCCAUGACCCGUAAUUUUUGACCAAAAUGGCCGAGGCUAAUUCUUGAAAUGAGGAAGUUUUGUUGAUCUAUAGUUAGACAAAGGAAGAGCCCCUUUGGACCAAGAUGAAGAGAGAGAGAAAAAGAUAUAGAAGAGACUAACGAAACCAGC
rnacentral:lncRNA from 1 species